rnacentral:misc_RNA from 1 species
GAUGAAGAACGCAGCGAAAUGCGAUAAGUAGUGUGAAUUGCAGAAUUCAGUGAAUCAUCGAAUCUUUGAACGCACAUUGCGCCCCUUGGUAUCCCGAGGGGCAUGCCUGUUCGAGCGUCAUUUCACCACUCAAGCCUGGCUUGGUGUUGGGCGACGUCCUCUUUGGGGACGCGCCUCGAAACGCUCGGCGGCGUGGCACCGGCUUUAAGCGUAGCAGAAUCUUUCGCUUUGGAAGUCGGGGCCCCGUCUGCCGGAAGACCUGCUCGCAAGGUUGACCUCGGAUCAGGCAGGGAUACCCGCUGAAAUUAAGCAUAUCAAUAAGCGGAGGA